GAUGAACGCUGGCGGCGUGCUUAACACAUGCAAGUCGAACGGUGAAGCCCCGCUUGCGGGGUGGAUCAGUGGCGAACGGGUGAGUAACACGUGAGCAACCUGCCCUGGACUCUGGGAUAAGCGCUGGAAACGGCGUCUAAUACUGGAUAUGAGCCCUCAUCGCAUGGUGGGGGUUGGAAAGAUUUUUCGGUCUGGGAUGGGCUCGCGGCCUAUCAGCUUGUUGGUGAGGUAAUGGCUCACCAAGGCGUCGACGGGUAGCCGGCCUGAGAGGGGGAGCGGCCACACUGGGACUGGGACACGGCCCAGCCUCCUACGGGAGGCAGCAGUGGGGAAUAUUGCACAAUGGGCGGAAGCCUGAUGCAGCAACGCCGCGUGAGGGAUGACGGCCUUCGGGUUGUAAACCUCUUUUAGCAAGGAAGAAGCUUUUGUGACGGUACUUGCAGAAAAAGCGCCGGCUAACUACGUGCCAGCAGCCGCGGUAA
rnacentral:rRNA from 1 species